rnacentral:rRNA from 2 species
GUUGGGUAGGGGAGCGUUCUGUAAGCCUGUGAAGGUGGCCUGUGAGGGUUGCUGGAGGUAUCAGAAGUGCGAAUGCUGACAUAAGUAACGAUAAAGCGGGUGAAAAGCCCGCUCGCCGGAAGACCAAGGGUUCCUGUCCAACGUUAAUCGGGGCAGGGUGAGUCGACCCCUAAGGCGAGGCCGAAAGGCGUAGUCGAUGGGAAACGGGUUAAUAUUCCCGUACUUGGUGUUACUGCGAAGGGGGGACGGAGAAGGCUAUGUUGGCCGGGCGACGGUUGUCCCGGUUUAAGCGUGUAGGUGUGUGUUCCAGGUAAAUCCGGUUCACUUUAACACUGAGGCGUGAUGACGAGGCACUACGGUGCUGAAGCAACAAAUGCCCUGCUUCCAGGAAAAGCCUCUAAGCAUCAGGUAACAUCAAAUCGUACCCCAAACCGACACAGGUGGUCAGGUAGAGAAUACCAAGGCGCUUGAGAGAACUCGGGUGAAGGAACUAGGCAAAAUGGUGCCGUAACUUCGGGAGAAGGCACGCUGACACGUAGGUGAAGUGAUUUACUCAUGGAGCUGAAGUCAGUCGAAGAUACCAGCUGGCUGCAACUGUUUAUUAAAAACACAGCACUGUGCAAACACGAAAGUGGACGUAUACGGUGUGACGCCUGCCCGGUGCCGGAAGGUUAAUUGAUGGGGUCAGCGCAAGCGAAGCUCCUGAUCGAAGCCCCGGUAAACGGCGGCCGUAACUAUAACGGUCCUAAGGUAGCGAAAUUCCUUGUCGGGUAAGUUCCGACCUGCACGAAUGGCGUAAUGAUGGCCAGGCUGUCUCCACCCGAGACUCAGUGAAAUUGAACUCGCUGUGAAGAUGCAGUGUACCCGCGGCAAGACGGAAAGACCCCGUGAACCUUUACUAUAGCUUGACACUGAACAUUGAGCCUUGAUGUGUAGGAUAGGUGGGAGGCUUUGAAGUGUGGACGCCAGUCUGCAUGGAGCCGACCUUGAAAUACCACCCUUUAAUGUUUGAUGUUCUAACGUGGACCCGUAAUCCGGGUUGCGGACAGUGUCUGGUGGGUAGUUUGACUGGGGCGGUCUCCUCCUAAAGAGUAACGGAGGAGCACGAAGGUUGGCUAAUCCUGGUCGGACAUCAGGAGGUUAGUGCAAUGGCAUAAGCCAGCUUGACUGCGAGCGUGACGGCGCGAGCAGGUGCGAAAGCAGGUCAUAGUGAUCCGGUGGUUCUGAAUGGAAGGGCCAUCGCUCAACGGAUAAAAGGUACUCCGGGGAUAACAGGCUGAUACCGCCCAAGAGUUCAUAUCGACGGCGGUGUUUGGCACCUCGAUGUCGGCUCAUCACAUCCUGGGGCUGAAGUAGGUCCCAAGGGUAUGGCUGUUCGCCAUUUAAAGUGGUACGCGAGCUGGGUUUAGAACGUCGUGAGACAGUUCGGUCCCUAUCUGCCGUGGGCGCUGGAGAACUGAGGGGGGCUGCUCCUAGUACGAGAGGACCGGAGUGGACGCAUCACUGGUGUUCGGGUUGUCAUGCCAAUGGCACUGCCCGGUAGCUAAAUGCGGAAGAGAUAAGUGCUGAAAGCAUCUAAGCACGAAACUUGCCCCGAGAUGAGUUCUCCCUGAGACUUUAGGUCUCCUGAAGGAACGUUGAAGACGACGACGUUGAUAGGCCGGGUGUGUAAGCGCAGCGAUGCGUUGAGCUAACCGGUACUAAUGAACCGUGAGGCUUAACCUUACAACGCCGAAG